GUGUCUGCCUGGUUUCAAAUUCUGCUUCAAUUGUGCCAGUUUUUUUGUGUUUUACCAUGGCUAGGAGAUAAAUGAAGGGUGCUGACAUUCACGGUUUGAUGGAAGAAGAUGUUGUUAGUGAUUUUGAGUUGUCUGACAAUGAAAAUAUCUCUUCAAACAGCAGCGGGAGUGAAAUUUCUACAUCAACUCCACCGAAACGAGACGCAGUUCACCUGAGCGCAUCAGUGAAACAAGUGACAGUGACCUUGGUGGCACAGUUGAAAUCAUUCACGGGGAGGUUUCUGAGGAGAGUAAUAUUCAGGCCCAACUCCAUUUUUGUAAUACAGAAACGCAAGGAUCAAAGUAUAUCCCAUCCGCACCUAUGACCCAAAAUCAGUAUUUUUAUCUGUUUUUCACCACAUCCCUGAACAUAAAUGUACCGGUGGUACAUAGUCCACUUAUGUUGUUUCACUUGUGCACAGUCAGUGAGAACGAGAACUGCAGUGUUUUACAAAUAUUGAUAUGAUGAAUAAACUAUUUGGUGUACAAUUUUCAAAUUUUAACAUCACAUAUAAUAUGAAUGGAGCUAUCAGAAAACAACAACAGGUGCAGUUGUAUGAUGACAAGAGGAAAGAAGACAAAUUGAUCUACGUAAGCAGCGACUAGCCCAUAGGCAUAAAGCGGCCAGACGCUGGGGAGCCUAUUCAGAACUGGGAUCCUCCCAUAGGAACACUCGGGUCUACACUGAACUGGCAUUUCUGUGCAUCCUGAUCUACUGAUGGAGCCACAUGAGCAGCCCCGUGCAACUCCCAUGUUAUUGGUUGGAAACGUGGCGGCCAUGACACCUCGGUGCAAGGCUGCUGCCAUCUAUGUUCAUUUUACAAGGAACUAAAUUUAAAAUGACCUCCUGGGCCGAGAGCACAAUCGGUAAGAAGGUAUGCUACUUUACCAACUAUUUUGAGUGCUCCCUCCUCUGCCCCCCAAUGCUUUUUUCGCUACUAGCACUGAAUACUUUUACAACCAGAUCUCUUGUACUGCAGUCUCUCUUUCC